rnacentral:miRNA from 1 species
UAGGUGUGUGUGUGUGUAUAUAUGUAUAUACACCCACACACAUACACACACCCAUU